CACUUGGUUGACUUCUAUUAAGUGUUGCUUUUAAUUCUGACUCAUAAUCAUUUAUGAAAGAAGCUGUUAUCUAAUCCUCAUUCUAACAGAGUCAUCUCUGACUUUUUCAGUUCACAAGUUAGAGAUUAAGUUGUUCUCACCAAUCCGGGGGAUCUGCCUCACCGGUGUCCAAAGGAGUGUGAACUACAAUACAAUGUCUUCUCAAAAGGAGAAGUCUUGAAAGCUGGAAAGUCUAAGAUAAUGGUGCUGGAGGAUUCAGUGUCUGGUGAAGACCCUCUUCUGAGUUGUAGACUGCUGAAUUCUCUCUGUUCCCUCUCUGUGAAAGGAUGGUUGAGAUUGCCAGAUGGUGUAUACAGAUCUUCUUGGGGAUCUCUACCUCCUGUUUCUAUUUGGACUAGGCAAUCGUUAGAACCUCAAGGCAUACUGAUCGUGAAUUUUCUACUCUAGGAGACUAAUGUAUUUAUAAUAUCUUGCAGCACAAAUUAGACCAUUUUUUUUAGGGGGGCGGAGGGGCGACACCUUCACACCUUCACACCUUCACAAGGGGAAUUUAUUCUCUGCUUCUAGAAGAGUGCUGUUAUUUUGAGACAAGAGCAGACAACAUAACCUUUUAGGAAAGCUUGCCAGUUUGGCCUUCAGCAACAGGGAGAUUGGGUUUAGCCCCAAACCUACCACUUUCGAGAAUUAGCCAAUCGGACUCCUUGGGGAUUUUAUAUAUGAAAACUAGUAGAGAGGAUUUCUCUCGUUCUUCUUGGAUCACCACAG